rnacentral:rRNA from 1 species
GGUGGAUGCCUUGGCACCAGAAGGCGAUGAAGGACGUGGCACGCUGCGAAAAAGCCGCGGGGAGAUGCGAGCGAUCGUUGAUCCGCGGAUGUCCGAAUGGGGCAACCCACCCGCGAGGGUAUCUGUCACUGAAUCCAUAGGUGGCGGAGGCGAACCCGGGGAACUGAAACAUCUCAGUACCCGGAGGAAAAGACAUCAACCGAGAUUCCGUAAGUAGUGGCGAGCGAAAGCGGAGCAGGCCAGUGGCCUGCAGGAGUGAAGCCGAACGGUCUGGAAAGUCCGGCCAUAGCGGGUGAUAGCCCCGUAGGCGUUUGGCUCCUGCAGGUCCUUGAGUAGGGCGGGACACGUGAAAUCCUGUCCGAAGAUGGGGGGACCACCCUCCAAGCCUAAAUACUCUCUGGUGACCGAUAGUGCACAAGUACCGUGAGGGAAGGUGAAAAGCACCCCGACAAGGGA